UGGGGAAUUUUGGACAAUGGGCGAAAGCCUGAUCCAGCAAUGCCGCGUGUGUGAAGAAGGCCUUCGGGUUGUAAAGCACUUUUGUCCGGAAAGAAAUCCUUGGCUCUAAUACAGUCGGGGGAUGACGGUACCGGAAGAAUAAGCACCGGCUAACUACGUGCCAGCAGCCGCGGUAAUACGUAGGGUGCAAGCGUUAAUCGGAAUUACUGGGCGUAAAGCGUGCGCAGGCGGUUUGCUAAGACCGAUGUGAAAUCCCCGGGCUCAACCUGGGAACUGCAUUGGUGACUGGCAGGCUAGAGUAUGGCAGAGGGGGGUAGAAUUCCACGUGUAGCAGUGAAAUGCGUAGAGAUGUGGAGGAAUACCGAUGGCGAAGGCAGCCCCCUGGGCCAAUACUGACGCUCAUGCACGAAAGCGUGGGGAGCAAACAGGAUUAGAUACCCUGGUAGUCCACGCCCUAAACGAUGUCAAUUAGUUGUUGGGGAUUCAUUUCCUUAGUAACGUAGCUAACGCGUGAAGUUGACCGCCUGGGGAGUACGGUCGCAAGAUUAAAACUCAAAUGAAUUGACGGGGUCAUAGCUGUUUCCU
rnacentral:rRNA from 1 species